AUGGGUCUCUGCUCAUGGGUGUCUGUGUUGGUGUGUGGACAUGUGUCCAGGUGGUCUGUGAGUCUGGGCUCCUGCGGGUGUAUGCCCCGAUGUAUGAACCUAUUUUUUUCUGUCUCUAUGUGCAGGGAUUUGUGUGUACUGUGUACACACCACUCCAAGUGGUUCUGCCUGAACCUUCAGCCUCCCCGGGGCCUUGGGUCCGAUGCGUAUGGCCGGACUCUGCUCAUUUGCGUGGGGAACCGCGUAUGUCUUCAGGGAUGCGUGUGGGCUCAGGGUGUGCACAGGCCACUCCUACCAGGUCCCACAUGUGCCUGGGAGCGCAGGGACACUGCGAGCAGCCCGGGACCCAGCCCUGGUGGGGACAGAGCGCUGGCCUGCGCUGCAGUGACGGGUUUGCUUUUUGCUCGACUCUUCGAGAGAGAGACGGAGUGAAGAGGUGAGAGCAGCGUCCACCCGGCUGGGACCGCCAUCUCACGGCCUUUCUGCUGGCUCCUCCCUCUGCUGCCCUGUUCAGUUUCCAGCCCACGGCAGGGGAUUGGAGACACGGAGACCUCCUUGUCCCCUCCACCUGCCCUUCCAGGUUUCAAUGUUUUUUUUUCUUAUUCUGCAUGCAUUUUUCCUUUUUGAGAAAAAUGAGAUGUUGGCUCCCGUGGAGAAAAAGUAAUAUAUAUAAAUAUAUUUCUUAUAGCAGAGGAGGAAAGAUACAGAAAAGCACAUAAAAAAGACGGUCAUUUGUGCUCUCUACCCGCCCCUCCCACCUAGAGAGGUUGGGACAUGUUUCUGGGGUGUGUGUCCAUCUGGGUCUGUUGCCUCUUCUCUGCCCACUGGCCUCCGUGUCUGUCUCUGUCUCUCCAUCCUCUGGCCCACAGACACGGGCUCUCCCUCUGGACUGCCAGUCUCUUGGUUCUUUGAGACAUUCAUUCGUAAAACUUGUUCCAAAGAGGAAACCGCCACCCCCCACCCCCCACGGCCCCUGCGGCUUUGUGACUGCACGUGCCUCCCUGUGUAUCUGUGUGAGUCCCCUGUGCUGGCUCUGUCUUUCUCAGCCCCUUCCCUGCCUCCCUUUCUCUACAGUUUCACUGACCUCCCUUCCAGGAAUUGCGGUUCCUCGGUGUGUAAUGUGUGCGUGUGCGGUGUGCGUGGCGUGUGGAGCAUGUGGGUGUUCCUGACCCUUCCAGGCUGUGGCCCCGCGCUGCCGUUCGUCUCUUUCUCAUCCUCUGCCCCUUCGUCUCUUCCCUCCCUCCCCUCCUAAAAAUUCCAACCAGACCUCGUGCUGGACACACACACACAGUCCCUCGUCUUUUUCUCUCAUCUCUGUCUUCUUUUCCCAUUUUUCUCUUGGGGCUCCAGAAAGCUGUGGUUUGCAGAGAGAAAGAGAGAGACCGACAGAAACACAGAAAUAAAGGACUGGCCGGGAAGAGACGUGGAGGGAGAGGGGAGUUGAUGUGGGGGUCGGAGGGGGGGUCUGGCUGAGAGAUGCCCAUCUGUCUGUCCAUCCCACUCUCCCCAGCCCUCCCUCCCUGGGGCUCUUCUCAACCCAUACCUGACCUGUGCUCCCCUCAGUGUGUUCCGUGGGAUUCAGGGCUCUGCCUGUCUGUCCAUCUGUCCAUCCAUCUGUGUAUCUGCCUUUGCCACCUCGCCUCCCCCUUGCUGUGGUCUCAUUAAAUACCCCUCUCUUUCUCUGAUUGUCCUGCGUGUGUGUGUGUGUGUGUGUGUGUGCGCGCGCGCGCGCAUUUGCCGCUGGAUCUCUGUGCCAGUGGGUCUUUUUCUACCUCCCACCUCCACCUCCCUGCAGUUUUAUUAAAAUCCUCCUUCUCAUUCUUCCUCCCUUUCUUGCCGCCCUUGGUAUGAAUGCAUCCGAGUGCAUGCGUAUCUGUGAAUGAACCUGUUGUCCACCCCCAGCCCCUUCCCCGGGGCUCCCGAGGGUC
rnacentral:lncRNA from 9 species